rnacentral:lncRNA from 1 species
UUACCAAGUAAUUGCAUUUUUUCUUUCAUGUAAUGCAGCUGCUAUGGAAGGAUUCUGCCCUGCUGUAUGAUCAGACAAGCCAUAUCUUCUCAUGAGGAUCGGGACCAUGAUUCUUGACAGAGCUAGCAUUUUCCAAGAAGGAUAUUAAUUAACCCUCAUUAGAGGUGACAGUGCCUGAGAGGGUGCAUUAGGGGAAAAUGAAGGCUCCCUUCCUCAUCACGAACGUCUUUGGCUGCAGACACUGCAAGGAUCAGAUCUAAUAGGAGCCUAAGAUGUUGCAU